rnacentral:rRNA from 1 species
UACGGAGGGUGCUAGCGUUGUUCGGAAUCACUGGGCGUAAAGGGCGUGUAGGCGGUCUGUUAAGUCUGGUGUGAAAUCCCCCCCGCUCAACGGGGGGAACGGCGCCGGAUACUGGCAGACUCGAGUACCGGAGAGGAAGGUGGAAUUCCCGGUGCAGCGGUGAAAUGCGUAGAUAUCGGAGGAACACCGGUGGCGAAGGCG